UUGUCCCGGUUUAAGCGUGUAGGCUGGUUUUCCAGGCAAAUCCGGAAAAUCAAGGCUGAGGCGUGAUGACGAGGCACUACGGUGCUGAAGCAACAAAUGCCCUGCUUCCAGGAAAAGCCUCUAAGCAUCAGGUAACAUCAAAUCGUACCCCAAACCGACACAGGUGGUCAGGUAGAGAAUACCAAGGCGCUUGAGAGAACUCGGGUGAAGGAACUAGGCAAAAUGGUGCCGUAACUUCGGGAGAAGGCACGCUGAUAUGUAGGUGAAGUCCCUCGCGGAUGGAGCUGAAAUCAGUCGAAGAUACCAGCUGGCUGCAACUGUUUAUUAAAAACACAGCACUGUGCAAACACGAAAGUGGACGUAUACGGUGUGACGCCUGCCCGGUGCCGGAAGGUUAAUUGAUGGGGUCAGCGCAAGCGAAGCUCUUGAUCGAAGCCCCGGUAAACGGCGGCCGUAACUAUAACGGUCCUAAGGUAGCGAAAUUCCUUGUCGGGUAAGUUCCGACCUGCACGAAUGGCGUAAUGAUGGCCAGGCUGUCUCCACCCGAGACUCAGUGAAAUUGAACUCGCUGUGAAGAUGCAGUGUACCCGCGGCAAGACGGAAAGACCCCGUGAACCUUUACUAUAGCUUGACACUGAACAUUGAGCCUUGAUGUGUAGGAUAGGUGGGAGGCUUAGAAGUGUGGACGCCAGUCUGCAUGGAGCCGACCUUGAAAUACCACCCUUUAAUGUUUGAUGUUCUAACGUUGACCCGUAAUCCGGGUUGCGGACAGUGUCUGGUGGGUAGUUUGACUGGGGCGGUCUCCUCCUAAAGAGUAACGGAGGAGCACGAAGGUUGGCUAAUCCUGGUCGGACAUCAGGAGGUUAGUGCAAUGGCAUAAGCCAGCUUGACUGCGAGCGUGACGGCGCGAGCAGGUGCGAAAGCAGGUCAUAGUGAUCCGGUGGUUCUGAAUGGAAGGGCCAUCGCUCAACGGAUAAAAGGUACUCCGGGGAUAACAGGCUGAUACCGCCCAAGAGUUCAUAUCGACGGCGGUGUUUGGCACCUCGAUGUCGGCUCAUCACAUCCUGGGGCUGAAGUAGGUCCCAAGGGUAUGGCUGUUCGCCAUUUAAAGUGGUACGCGAGCUGGGUUUAGAACGUCGUGAGACAGUUCGGUCCCUAUCUGCCGUGGGCGCUGGAGAACUGAGGGGGGCUGCUCCUAGUACG
rnacentral:rRNA from 1 species